AUAGCAGAAUUUACUGCAGCAUUUUUGAAUAUCAAUACAUAAAGCUUCCAACGUCCGUCGCAAGACCCGAUGCAAGCCUCGAUACAAGCCACAAUGCAAGCGCCAUCAUCAGACAUUCCAACGCUUCCAAUCUCUCGAUUCUCGGGCAGUUCUAAUGAUUGACCAUCUUUCUACCACAGCUCAAUAUAUGGCCAUUCGCAUGAUCCAACAGUUUGCGAAGGACAAACGCAAUAAAUAACUUCUUGCAGAACAUGUCUUAGGAAUGUCUUUGCCCGUUGGAGUUCCUAGCACCCGUGAUCGUUAUGUCAAAGAUCCUCCUGAAAGACACCUGGACCUUCCGCAUUCAGCAAACCUGGAGCACUUGACUGAGAUGAUUCCUUACCAGACACGCUAGCUGAGCUUUGGCAGCAAUACAUCGAAAAGCUCCCAGAUAUCCAACAAAUCCAUGGUCCACGCUGGCUUGGAUUCGACUUAAGCAAUGUUGUUUCUCUCCAGAUGCAUAUGUUUUGCUAUGGAUCAUCUUCUGAAUAUGCCGCGUGCGCAUACCUCUGAUCUCAGGACAUGAACGGGACACACAAAUUUACUCGCAGUUGGGUUCAAUUAACUAUACCUCUCACCAUACAUAGGUCUCCAAUCAUUUAGGCACUAUCCACGAAAUAAGUUCUGCCUCACAGCUCUGCCACUUGGCCAACACGCCAUUCUACAUUUAAAGCAUACUUUCAUACAUACUACAGUAUUCAUUCAUAACAUUCAUACAUAUCAUACAUCAUUCAUACAUACUACUAGCUAUUCAUUUAUAAAGCUAUUCAUUUGUAUCAUUUGUAAAGCUAUUUAUAUAGAGCUGGUCACCGGUAUCACCGCACAUUUCCUCUGGGCACCGCAACGUUUUAUCAGCCGAAGAGGACUGGAUCGACACAUGUACAGCCACUGCGGUACUAAUUUAAUCGCUGCAGAUAAGUCUGUACAGCAGUGGACGAAGGUCUUCAGCCAAAAAGUCAUUGACGUUGUGGUUCCAGAACUCACGAAGCGGCAUAUUCCGCGGCACUUAAACCCUCAGCACUGUCCGAAUUUUGGAGAACUUUGGGAAGCAAAGUUCUUUUUAAGGAAACCCAAUGACAUACGAGCAUCUAUCAACUCUACGCCUCCAGAUACCAGGACCUUUAAUUGAUAUUUUGAGACAAUGGCCAUAUGCGGCCAGGGGAAGGAAGGGUUACGCGGUUUGAUAUCUGUCCGUAGAGUUUAUCAGAGUCUAUUUGAAGAAUGAAUGGAUUUAGUGGAGACAGAAACUAUGCGGCGAGGAAUGUACAGCUUCUCGAGACAGAUAAACACUUCUUCGACACCGGCGCUACGAGUUGGGUAGAGCCAGAUAUAUUUCAAAAAGCCAUCCACUACAACAAGGAUGUAAUUUUAGCGCUUGAAUGUUGAAAGGUGCUCAAUCUUGUAGUUGAAGUCCUGCAAAUAUAUCAAGUGAAGCGACUCAUGUUUUGGACUGAAUGAAUGAAACUAUCUUACGGAUCGUUUUGCAAUAAGACGGCGCACAGUGGCGCAUUAGAUACAAAUGCUAUACUAAAUUCAAAUUUAGUAUCGUUGCGUGGGACAUCGCAUUCGACAGGUAAUAGUUCAAAAGGGUUGAAUCCAAAAAAUUCCAUGGCGUUGAAGUAUGAGGUGUUGUUCUUGAAUAUGUUCUUUAUCAGAAUUGUUUUUCAA